CGAGGGCGGGCUUAGCUGCGUCCACUCCUGGGCCGGCUCGUGGCGCAGGGCAGGGACUCGGAGUGGCGCUGUGCGGCGGCGGGGCUGCUGCUUUCCUCGGCCCUGCCGUGCGCGAGGCCCCCGGCUCACGCCCCCGCCCUCCCUGUGCUGGCCAUGGAAGUCCGCCACUGGCCGGCAGCUCUUCCGCUGUCCGAAGUCACGUGCUGUCCUUGCUCUGAGGAGUGAUGUCAUGAUUGGACAGCAGACAGCUGGUCUCAACCCAGGUUAUUGCAGUGGCCAUUAGGUUCUGGACCUUCCACUGCUGAAGAUGGUGUCUAGCAGGAGGAACAUGGAACUUGAAGGAGCAGGUGGAACAGCCCAGGACACUCCUCGAUGAUCUGCAGCCCAACUGAAAACAAUGUUGCAAAUAUUUGAUCUGGGAUAUUCAAAAUUAGAGCUGUGCUGCUUCGUAAUGUUCAUAUAAGUCAUGUGGUAGGUUCCCUGACUGGAGGAGUGUAUGGGGACUUCUAGCAAGACUAGCAAGAUGUGCAAGUUAAAAAUGCCAUUACCCUGAAUAUUCUGUAAUGAGACACUGAAAUCACCUUCCACAAGCAUUUGUGAUAUUAUGUAGGUAUAGUGCCAUUCUUGCUUAGACUGAUAAGGCUUUUCUUUUGUUUUCAAUAACCUAUGUACAUGAUAGCCCUGUAAUAUUUACAAUAGAAAAAAGUUUUAAAAGAAAACAUCAGUCAUUCAAAUGUUCAUGUAAGCAUGGCUAAAACAAAAUCAUUUUCAAAUUUGAAUGGGUGUUUGUAGAUUUAUUUAUUGCAGUGUUUGCUCAGCUAUGCAUUUGGUCCUCAUCUUAGUUUGGGUAAAAUUCACACUUGUGCAUAGAGCUAGCCCAAAGUCUAUACAAUACUAAAGGCCAGUUUAAGCCCUAUGUGACGUUGCACCCCGUAAUGCUUUAUAGAAAUAUGCUUAUUGGUAUAAAUAUGAUAUAACUUGAAUAUGUUUUAUGUAACAUCUUUGCAAAGGUUAUGAGCCACUGAAUAUAUUCAUCCUAUUUGUAUGCAUGUAUCAUUUUGAUAUGUGAAGUUAUGAGCGUUGGCUCUAUGCUUGUAUUUAAAGCGUUUGCUGUAGGAAGCACAUAAAACAGAUUUUGUCAACAUAGUGUGAAGGGGUUAUUCAAGUAAUUGGGAGUACUUAACAGUGGACUUUGAGAGAGGCCAAUCCACAUCUGAGCUUUCCUGGGAAUGCUCAAACUAACAUGUAAACAAUGGCGUCAGCCUGCAAAAAGCUGAAUCAUUCAUAGACAUGUGACUUGCCCAGGUGGCUAGAGACCCCCAUCUUGUGGCUGUGACGUUGCACAAGAGAAAGACUAUAUAAGGCCCUGGAAGCCCCUGCAUUUUGUCUUCAGCUGGCUCAAAAGAUAACCUUUCCACCCCGAGAGAUGCCUGAAAAAAAACCUGGAACAAAGGACAGUAACUACGGGGGUUAGGAAGAAGUCUAGUCUGUAAAAGAAGCUUAUCGGUACAUCUCUGAGGGUGAGAUUUAUCUGCAUUUAGUUUCCUACUGUAUUAGGCUUAGACUUGCGAGUUUUGUUUUAUUUUGCUUGGUAACUUACUUUGUUCUGUCUGUUAUUACGUGGAACCACUAAAUCCCACUUUUUAUAUUUAAUAAAAUCACUUUUUACU